rnacentral:lncRNA from 1 species
GGUCCCUUGGUCCCACUUUAUAAAAUGUGGUGGCUAAGGCACAAAUGGGUCCAGUAACUAGCACAGGUGGCAGAGCCUCUGUUCUUACCCAUGUUGAGUCAGAGAGCCCUUGCAGUGCUUAGAUCUGAAGCAGAGCCUUGGAAUCUCAAGUUCUCAGAAGUUGGCUGGAGCCCUCAGAGCAUUAGCAGAAGAAAUACAAAUGCAGGAACUGUUUGAGGGCAUCCCAGGUUCCUCUCACCAGGCAUCCACCGCAGGUGGUUCAGACCUCCCUCGAUUUACCCCCCACCCCCACAGGAUCCAAUGCCUGUGGGGGAAAGGGCUGAUCUGGGAGGACACCCACCCCAGGCAGCCUAGUCCAUAAAGAGCCUGUUUCCUGUCACACACAUGCCGGCCCAGGGCAAGGGGAAGUGCCCCAUGGACAGAUUUGGUUGCUGGCCCAAAGAGGAAGGUGCAGCCUCCACGGGUGUCUUCCUGAAACAGUUGGGAUGAUGGUAGAAGUUCUCUGAGAUCAGUUAGACAUGUACAAGUCAAAUGCAAUACUGCACGGAGGGGUCUGAUAGAGAAGCACCAUCACCCUCCCCAAAUCCCUUUCCCCUGGAGCCUCCUGCCUCCCAUUCUACAGAAUGCAGGCUUGAGCUCCUGUGCUUUCACUUCCGCCAAACCUCCAGGGCCUGGAAAUUAACCUCCAAGAAUUGCCAGGGAAUUGUGGGGGAGAUGCUAAAUGUCCAAGGGCUUCCUGGCCUGGGUAAUCUUUGAGAGUCAGGGAAACUUUUGAGUGUCAGAAAAGGGAUAGUGAAGGGGGGGCCCUUCAGUGGGGACAGAGGACAACUGAAACUUGAGGGCUGUUUGACAGUAGAAUGGAGACCCAGAAGCAGGAAUCCUGGUGGUACAGACUUGUGUGAUUUAGAGCAGAAUUUCAUGUAGAGCAGUUGAUAACUGACAGGGCUCUCUGAAGAGCACAGAGAAAUAGUGAUAUACUAAUUUCUAUCCCGCACUCUAGGGGACAAUCAAGCCCAGACAAAACAUAACCAUACACCCUACUUCUAGUCCAUGACAAAAAGGAACAACUUGAUUACCACUAACAGAGACCAAAAUAAAACCAGCUUCAAGUUCAUCUGGACCUGAGUGCUCAGAUGGUAUUAGGGUUCUCACUUCAUCCUUGGUGGCCUCACUCUCCCCUAUCAAUAGCAUCUUCUAUGUCACCAAUAGCCUCAACACCCCCAAAGGCAAGACCCCUCCUCCAGAGGCAUCCACAAAGUCUGGGGUCCUAUUCCCAACCCUGAUCCCUCACAAUGCACAGGAAAAAUGGAAUAGUCUAGUUAGGCAUGAUGGUGUACACCUGUAAUUUCAGCAACUCUGGAGGCUGAGGCAGGAGGACUACAAGUUUGAGGCCAGCUCAGCAACUAGCAAGACUGUCUCCAAAUAAAAAGGGCUAAGGUAAUUGAAUCCCUUGGAUUCAAUUCCCCAGUAUCAAAAAUAAAUAAAUAAAAUAUAAAAUGGAAAAUUUUGUUGGGGGGAAUACUGGAAAUGAAACUCAGGGGCACUCCACUGCUGAGCUAUACCCCAGUUCUUUUUCUUUGUUUAUUCUGUGGUACUGGAGAGUGAUCAUCAAGCUUCAUCCUCAGCCCUUUUAAAAAUUUUCUUGCCUGGCAUGGUGGUACAUGCUUGUAAUCCCAGUGAUCAGGGAAGCUGAGGCAGGAGGAUUGCCAGCCUCAGCAAUUUUGUGAGACCCUGUCUCAAAAAGUGCUGGGGAUAUGGCUCAAUGGUAAAGUGCCCUUGGUUCAAUCCCCAGGACCAAAAAAAAGUAACCCCCUCAAAAAAAAAAAAAAAAUUGAGGCUGGGGUUGUGGCUCAGAGGUAGAGCGCUCGCCUAGCAUGCAUGAGGCACUGGGUUUGAUCCUCAGCACUGUUAGGCUCAAAUUUGGGACCCCCAAAAGACCGCCAGAGACCAAG